UUUUAUACUAAUGCUGCAUUGGAACCCAGUGAAUGUCAUCUUGCUGAUGGCUGGGGCCCGACCAAAAGAGAAUAAACCACAUGGGAUACUGUGUGGGUGACAAGACCAUUAUUGGUAUUCGGAAAUAAAAAACCGCUUUGGUUGGUGGCGCAAUAUGCUCUUCGAUGUAAACGGCCACUCGGGUAGGCACGACAAGAGGCUCUGCAGUAAUGCAUCCCACGUGAAGAUGUUAGCGUGAGAAACUAGUAUCUCCGUCCUCAAAGGAAGUGCUCGGCUUGACGAUAGGUAACUAUCUAUAACUACCUUAGUGGGCACUGGUAGGAGAACGCCGUGAUUUCACUUUGUUAAAUAGGCAAUAACUUAGAUCUCACGCUGAAGCUCUCUGAAAGCUGGAAGAUUAUGCAAGUCUUCCCAAGGUUCGGUUCUUUGAACCCAUUCUAGAAGUAUAGGGGUCGCUACCUUAUGCUCAGCCUAGCGUGCUUGUGCGUGAACAACAAAUUAGAGUAAGUAUUGUAUGAUGAAGGUCGCCAAUGCCUUUUUUAUUUAC
rnacentral:ncRNA from 1 species